AUGGCCCCGUUGCUUCGGUUUGGCGCGAGGAAGGUCUGCGGCCAUGCCGGCCUAGAGCGACCACUGCAGGGCAGUUUCAUGGCGGCCAGGUCGCUCACCGUCGUCAAGGAGGAGCAGCCGCGGAAGCUGCCGUGGACUAUUUUCCAUGGCAGGCUGAGCUCACUCCACUGGUUCAGCAGCUCCCCUGAAUCACCAUACGAUCCUCUCACCAACAAUCACAGGCACUUCCCUGUGGGCCUGCGUCGAUUGGAGGAGAAGCGGCAGGAGUUGCUCCGUUUGCUCCGUGAGAUGGACGAUCUCCAAGCUGAGAGAUGCGCCAUGGAGAUCAAGAAGAACACCAAGCUGCUCCAGCUGCUUGGGCGACCCCCUUCAAAACCAUCCUCAGCUGAAGAUUUCAAACGACACUUUGGCGUUGAUGACUUUAAGGACUUCAUGCUAUCCCUUCCAUUUAUGGCAAUGGCACUCUUUCUCUUUGUCGCUUUCUCUAUGAUGACUAUCUUUAUGUUGCUUUUGCCCUUGUUCUUACUCUGUACAUCUACAUCUAGGACCGGCCAGAAAUAUAAGGAGCACACACUUUCCGAGAAAGAUUUAGCUUCGACCAAGGAGUAA
rnacentral:rRNA from 1 species